rnacentral:rRNA from 1 species
CCUACGGGUGGCAGCAGUGGGGAAUAUUGCACAAUGGGCGCAAGCCUGAUGCAGCCAUGCCGCGUGUAUGAAGAAGGCCUUCGGGUUGUAAAGUACUUUCAGCGGGGAGGAAGGGAGUAAAGUUAAUACCUUUGCUCAUUGACGUUACCCGCAGAAGAAGCACCGGCUAACUCCGUGCCAGCAGCCGCGGUAAUACGGAGGGUGCAAGCGUUAAUCGGAAUUACUGGGCGUAAAGCGCACGCAGGCGGUUUGUUAAGUCAGAUGUGAAAUCCCCGGGCUCAACCUGGGAACUGCAUCUGAUACUGGCAAGCUUGAGUCUCGUAGAGGGGGGUAGAAUUCCAGGUGUAGCGGUGAAAUGCGUAGAGAUCAGGAGGAACACCAGUGGCGAAGGCGGCUUGCUGGACGGUAACUGACGUUGAGGCUCGAAAGCGUGGGGAGCAAACAGGAUUAGAUACCCCUGUAGUC